GAUGAACGCUGGCGGCGUGCCUAAUACAUGCAAGUCGAGCGAACAGACGAGGAGCUUGCUCCUCUGACGUUAGCGGCGGACGGGUGAGUAACACGUGGAUAACCUACCUAUAAGACUGGGAUAACUUCGGGAAACCGGAGCUAAUACCGGAUAAUAUAUUGAACCGCAUGGUUCAAUAGUGAAAGACGGUUUUGCUGUCACUUAUAGAUGGAUCCGCGCCGCAUUAGCUAGUUGGUAAGGUAACGGCUUACCAAGGCAACGAUGCGUAGCCGACCUGGGAGGGUGAUCGGCCACACUGGAACUGAGACACGGUCCAGACUCCUACGGGAGGCAGCAGUAGGGAAUCUUCCGCAAAGGGCGAAAGCUUGACGGAGCAACGCCGCGUGAGUGAUGAAGGUCUUCGGAUCGUAAAACUCUGUUAUUAGGGAAGAACAAAUGUGUAAGUAACUAUGCACGUCUUGACGGUACCUAAUCAGAAAGCCACGGCUAACUACGUG
rnacentral:rRNA from 1 species